GUGCCAGCCGCCGCGGUAACACGUAGGGGGCGAGCGUUGUUCGGAAUCAUUGGGCGUAAAGGGCGCGCAGGCGGCGUUUAAAGUCUGGCGUGGAAGUCCCCGGCUCAACCGGGGGACGGCGUUGGAAACUGGGACGCUUGAGUAAGGCAGGGGAUGGCGGAAUUCCAGGUGUAGGGGUGAAAUCUGUAGAUAUCUGGAGGAACACCGACGGCGAAGGCAGCCAUCUGGUCCAUUACUGACGCUGAGGCGCGAAGGUGCGGGGAGCAAACAGGUUUAGAUACCCUGGUAGUCCGCACAGUAAACGAUGUGCACCAGGUGUUGGUCAUAAACUGAUCAGUACCGCAGCAAACGCGAUAAGUGCACCGCCUGGGGAGUAUGCCCGCAAGGGUGAAACUCAAAUGAAUUGACGG
rnacentral:rRNA from 1 species